rnacentral:rRNA from 1 species
UGGCGGCAUUAGCGCGGUGGUCCCACCUGACCCCAUGCCGAACUCAGAAGUGAAACGCCGUAGCGCCGAUGGUAGUGUGGGGUCUCCCCAUGUGAGAGUAGGGAACUGCCA